GGCGGCGUGCCUAAUACAUGCAAGUCGAACGGUCUUUCUAUGGAAGCUUGCUUCCACUGAGAAGAUAGUGGCGAACGGGUGAGUAACACGUGGGUAACCUGCCCAUAAGAGGGGGGAUAACAUCCGGAAACGGGUGCUAAUACCGCAUAGUUUUCUUGAUCGCAUGAUCGGGAAAGGAAAGACGGCCUUUGUGCUGUCGCUUAUGGAUGGACCCGCGGCGUAUUAGUUAGUUGGUGAGGUAACGGCUCACCAAGACGAUGAUACGUAGCCGACCUGAGAGGGUGAUCGGCCACAUUGGGACUGAGACACGGCCCAAACUCCUACGGGAGGCAGCAGUAGGGAAUCUUCCGCAAUGGACGAAGUCUGACGGAGCAACGCCGCGUGAGUGAAGAAGGUUUUUCCGGAUCGUAAAACUCUGUUGUCAGAGAAGAACAAGUUGGAGAGUAACUGCUCCAGCCUUGACGGUAUCUGACCAGAAAGCCACGGCUAACUACGUGCCAGCAGCUGC
rnacentral:rRNA from 1 species